rnacentral:rRNA from 1 species
AGUGAACGCUGGCGGUAGGCCUAACACAUGCCAGUCGAACGGCAGCACAGUAAGAGCUUGCUCUUACGGGUGGCGAGUGGCGGACGGGUGAGGAAUACAUCGGAAUCUACUUUUUCGUGGGGGAUAACGUAGGGAAACUUACGCUAAUACCGCAUACGACCUACGGGUGAAAGCAGGGGAUCUUCGGACCUUGCGCGAUUGAAUGAGCCGAUGUCGGAUUAGCUAGUUGGCGGGGUAAAGGCCCACCAAGGCGACGAUCCGUAGCUGGUCUGAGAGGAUGAUCAGGCACACUGGAACUGAGACACGGUCCAGACUCCUACGGGAGGCAGCAGUGGGGAAUAUUGGACAAUGGGCGCAAGCCUGAUCCAGCCAUACCGCGUGGGUGAAGAAGGCCUUCGGGUUGUAAAGCCCUUUUGUUGGGAAAGAAAAGCAGCAGGUUAAUACCCCGCUGUUCUGACGGUACCCAAAGAAUAAGCACCGGCUAACUUCGUG